UACGUAGGGUGCGAGCGUUAAUCGGAAUUACUGGGCGUAAAGCGUGCGCAGGCGGUUAUGUAAAACAGAGGUGAAAUCCCCGGGCUCAACCUGGGAACUGCCUUUGUGACUGCAUGACUAGAGUACGGCAGAGGGGGAUGGAAUUCCGCGUGUAGCAGUGAAAUGCGUAGAUAUGCGGAGGAACACCGAUGGCGAAGGCAAUCCCCUGGGCCGGUACCGACGCUCAUGCACGAAAGCGUGGGGAGCAAACAGG
rnacentral:rRNA from 1 species